rnacentral:rRNA from 1 species
CCAGCUCCAAUAGCGUAUAUUAAAGUUGUUGCAGUUAAAAAGCUCGUAGUUGGAUUUGUGGCAGGUGCGUUCAGCCCGACACUAUGUGUGGGUGCUUGAACGUGCCGCCAUCCUUGGGCGGAAUCUGUGUGGCAUUAGGUUGUCGUGCAGGGGAUGCCCAUCUUUUACUGUGAAAAAAUUAGAGUGUUCAAAGCAGGCUUAUGCCGUUGAAUAUAUUAGCAUGGAAUAAUGAGAUAGGACCUUGGUACUAUUUUGUUGGUUUGCGCACCAAGGUAAUGAUUAAUAGGGACAGUUGGGGGUAUUCGUAUUCCAUUGUCAGAGGUGAAAUUCUUGGAUUUCUGGAAGACGAACUACUGCGAAAGCAUUUACCAAGGAUGUUUUCA